GUUGAAGUCGGAAGUUUCCAUACACUUACACGGAACCCAAACCGGCCGCCAAGUGCGUGCACCAUCGUGCGCAAAUUGAUUUUGUCCCCCCACACCACACGUUAUCACGACACUCAGGUUAAAAUAUCAAAGCAAACUCUGAACCAAUUAUAUUAUUUUGGGGGCGGAACGCUGUUUUUAGCGCCUUUUCUUGCCUGCAUUUUCCAGUGACCCUGUUGAAAUGUAUUUUGAUUCUUCUGAUUUCACCGCGAUUGAGGAGUGAUAACAUGGGGAAGGAGGAGGAAGUUAUGGGUGCAUCCCAUAAAUGUGCUGAGAAGGGAGCAUGGGCAAUACUACCACCUUGUCCAGGAGCUGCUCUUGGACCCUGCCCACAUCACCGAUACUUCCGGAUGAGUGCAGAAGAGAUGGAGACUGUCUUUUGUUGGCCCAGACCUCACCAAGCAGACGAUCAACUACAGGACCCCAGUAGAGCCUAAGCAAAGACUAGCUGUCACUCUAAGGUAUUUGGCAUCUGGAGACUCUAUUUGCAGCCUGUUCUUCACCUAUCGUCUUGGAUUCGAGACAGUGUCGCAGUGCAUUAUGGAGACCUGUUAGGCCAUAGAGAGGAAGAUGCUGGCGAUCCAUCUGCCACAACCCACUGAGGAAACCUGAAGAUAAACUUCUCAAGAGUUUCAUGAAAAUGGGACUUUCCCAAUUGUUUGGGAUCGGUUGAUGGAAAACAUAUUAUGAUCACCAAACAACCAAACUCAGGGAGACGUUUUUUAAAUUGUUUUUAAAUCGUUUUUUAAACUCUGUGGUGUUACUCGCCCUUGUGGAUGCCAAUUACCGCUUCACAGCUAUUCAAGUGGGGGAUUUUGGGAGAAAGAGUGACGGAGAAGUCUAUGCCAACUCCCCACUUGGAAGGGCAAUUGCAUCAAAAACCCUGCAGGUGCCCCAAGAUGCCUUUCUGCUUGGGGGCAAAGAUUUAGGAAAGAUACCAUACAUAAUGGUG